UACGUAGGUGGCAAGCGUUAUCCGGAAUUAUUGGGCGUAAAGAGCGCGCAGGUGGUUGAUUAAGUCUGAUGUGAAAGCCCACGGCUUAACCGUGGAGGGUCAUUGGAAACUGGUCGACUUGAGUGCAGAAGAGGGAAGUGGAAUUCCAUGUGUAGCGGUGAAAUGCGUAGAGAUAUGGAGGAACACCAGUGGCGAAGGCGGCUUCCUGGUCUGUAACUGACACUGAGGCACGAAAGCGUGGGGAGCAAACAGGAUUAGAUACCCCU
rnacentral:rRNA from 1 species